UACAACAGUAGGGCUCUUUGAUAUAAGCUGGAUGAAGAGCAUGGCUGGGACUUGGGCUGGGAUAUGUGGGGACUUCCAUAUAUCCUUCCCUCACCCACCCUUUAAAAUCUAAAACUUGGGACCCAUUCACUGAGGUGUACCUUAGAGGGAGGUGUAAGACUUCAAGUGGUCUACUCAUCCAUCUCUGGCAUAUUUGGUAGAAGAAGGAAGUGGACUGGGUAGGUCUAUCCCAGGGAUCAGGCUAAGAGAGAAAGCAGGAAGAAAGGACAGGGCCUGGGAUCCCACAUUUGCAACACAGUAACAUGCCAAAUGAAUGAUGUAGGCUUUGAUCAGUUAGAUUAGCAACUCCCUAACAUGAUAGGGCUUCCAGCAAUGGGAAAAACAGAGGUGGCCUUAUAGGAAGAAGGACUGAGCCUUGUUGCCUGAUGGCUGUGAAGGCUAAAUGGAAGAGUUUAUGUGACUGAAUCAGGUACUCAAAGAAGAAGUCAUCCAAGCACUCUUUAUGACAACCCUGACAUAAGUACCAUCACCAUCCCCAUUUGACAGAUAGAGAACUGAGCUUUGAUGCAGCACUUGUGUUAACCUUUCCAUGAGGCUAUGUAGGCUUCUUGUCAUCUGAACAUCCAAUGUUCCAUGAAGUGUUACCAUUUGUGACCCCUUCCUUCUGAGUUUGAUACUCGUAUUUAAGAGAUUCAUGAUGCAGAAGGAUCUUUGAAUUGGGAAGCAGGAGGCCUGGUUCCAGCUUCAGUGGAGAGGAAGCAUCCAGACUGCUGCUGGAGGUGAAAGCUGACUGCUCUGAUCAAGGUUAUAAGCUGCUGUUGUCAGAGGCAUCCUGAUCAUCCUUAACCCUUUCCUGGACUGAACGAGGGAGUGGACCAUGAACCUUAAAGUCCUGGUCACCAUGUCAUAGAAUGGGUAGCAUGACAGAACUUGCUGUUAUGGCAAUGACGACACCCCUUUUUGAGAGCCUAUAUAAACCAGACUCUGUGGGUUCCUCAUGAAGUGUGCAGAAUCCUGUUUGGAAUUCAGACAUAGAAACAACUAAUUCUAGAAUGAUAACAAUAGAGCAC